rnacentral:lncRNA from 1 species
AGAAUAACAAAAUGAAAGAGAGAUAAAGAAAAGAAAAUGAACAUUAUUCAAGAGAAGUAAAGAUCUAAGUAAAAGGCAAAUACUUCAAUCUUAAGAAAAAGCAAAACAAGCAUAAUAUAUUCGGCACAUUUGGAAGGAAUAAAAUCCAUAACUAAUUACACUUAAACAGGGAGAAUUUGAAGUAAACAUUUUAACCUUUCUAUAUUGCUCAUCAUAGGGAUGGUGCCAAUGGGGAGGCUAGUGGUAGUACCCGGCACUAUUUGACCCAACUAUUUGGUGUAGGGCAUAUUAGGGACGGCACAAGAGGGAGGCUAGUGGUAGUACCUCGUGCCCCUUCCCAACUCCACCGGAUAGGGAGUAAAUAGAGUAUAGAGCAUAAGAAAGUAAAAAUGAAAGACAAAGUAAAUGAAAGUAUAUAAGAAGAAUCAAGUUUUUUUUUAUCACUUGAAAACAUAAUUUAAGGAUGAAAUCAAUGCAAGAUAAUAUUUAAAUAGGGGGAGUUUAUUUGAAAAGAAUUGAUUUUGAUCCUUGACAUGCUUGUUCUUAUUAUUUUAAUGUAUGACUUA